GGAAAAUCUGUAGCUCAGUGGAAGAGAUGCCUUUUUGCGAGGAGAAGGUCCCAGGUUUAAUCCCUGGGAUCUCCA